rnacentral:rRNA from 1 species
AUUGAACGCUGGCGGCAGGCUUAACACAUGCAAGUCGAACGAGUGGCGGACGGGUGAGUAAUGCUUGGGAAUCUGGCUUAUGGAGGGGGAUAACUACGGGAAACUGUAGCUAAUACCGCGUACCAUAGGAUGAGCCCAAGUGGGAUUAGGUAGUUGGUGGGGUAAAGGCUCACCAAGCCGACGAUCCCUAGCUGGUCUGAGAGGAUGACCAGCCACACUGGGACUGAGACACGGCCCAGACUCCUACGGGAGGCAGCAGUGGGGAAUAUUGGACAAUGGGGGAAACCUGAUGCAGCCAUGCCGCGUGUAUGAAGAAGGCCUUCGGGUUGUAAAGUUCUUUUGGCAGAGAGGCGUUAACUGCAGAAGAAGCACCGGCUAACUACGUGCCAGCAGCCGCGGUAAUAC